rnacentral:rRNA from 1 species
AAGGCUUCGGGUUGUAAAGCUCUUUCAGAACGGAAAGAAACGGUUACGGCGUAAUAACCCGUGACUAAAUGACGGUACCGUCAGAAGAAAGCACCCGGCUAAACUACGUGC